rnacentral:lncRNA from 1 species
GGGAGGGAAGAACGAAAUGAGAGAGAGAACGAAAUCUGAGACAAAACGCAAUGGAAUAGGCAAAAGGGUAUAUUUGGAAUGGAAAAUUUUCCAAAUUCUAUUCAUUUUGGUUCACAGAUUAAAAAAAAAAAUAAAAAACAACCAAUGCCAGCUUGACACGUGUGUGUGUGUCAAAAAAGUUGUGUUAAAAUAACAGGAUCCUUUUUAAAAUUAGGAUACACGAAAAUCCUAAAUAGAGUAAUAGCACUCGUGCAAGUGCCUUUUUCCUCCAUUCAUACUCCCAACAUGUUUAAACACUUUUUU